ncrna:unclassified sequences S10-Clostridia ribosomal protein leader
UGAUAGCGAUGAAGCGUGAGGUUGCCACCAUCCGGUGGGUUUUUCCGUGGAGCGAAUGUCAAGAGGUCGAGAUCAGCAAAUUCGGCCGGGAACCCUGACGGCAA